rnacentral:rRNA from 1 species
AUUGAACGCUGGCGGCAGGCCUAACACAUGCAAGUCGAGCGGAUGAAGGGAGCUUGCUCCUGGAUUCAGCGGCGGACGGGUGAGUAAUGCCUAGGAAUCUGCCUGGUAGUGGAGGAUAACGUCCGGAAACGGGCGCUAAUACCGCAUACGUCCUGAGGGAAAAAGUGGGGGAUCUUCGGACCUCACGCUAUCAGAUGAGCCUAGGUCGGAUUAGCUAGUUGGUGGGGUAAGGGCCUACCAAGGCGACGAUCCGUAACUGGUCUGAGAGGAUGAUCAGUCACACUGGAACUGAGACACGGUCCAGACUCCUACGGGAGGCAGCAGUGGGGAAUAUUGGACAAUGGGCGAAAGCCUGAUCCAGCCAUGCCGCGUGUGUGAAGAAGGUCUUCGGAUUGUAAAGCACUUUAAGUUGGGAGGAAGGGCAGUAAGUUAAUACCUUGCUGUUUUGACGUUACCAACAGAAUAAGCACCGGCUAACUUCGUG